GGGGGUAUAGCUCAGUUGGCAGAGCGUUCGACCAAAGUUCGGAUGGUCUCGGGUUCGAUCCCCGAUGCCUCCA
rfam:Strongylocentrotus purpuratus Contig29818_fixed, whole genome shotgun sequence.